AAAAAGAGAGAGAUGAGAUCAAUCACCAAGCCUUGAACGUGGGCUGGCCUUUGGACCUGCUCUGGCCAACAGUGUGGCGGAAGUGAUGUGUGCGUUCCGAGGCUCCGCCUACGGAGACCUGGCAGACUUUACUCUCUGCCCAGCUGCCAUGUGAAGAGGCCGGGCUAGCCUGUCAGAGGGCAAGAGACACAUGCCUGUCACCGCCAUCAUCACAGCUCACAGCCACCCACGCCUGGAAGUAGAGCCACCUCCUCAGCUGACCUACAGCUGACCACAGGCACCCAGAUGCUGCAACCACGUCUCGGACCCCCCCAGACCUUCCCCGGGCGACCUUUCCACUCCCCUGGGAUGGAGGGAAGUCUGUGACUGCUGCAACCAGGGCAGCGCACAGACGGGCCACUAGGUGACUUCCGAGGCGAGUCACCUGCAACUCAGGCAACUCAGUUCCUGCCUUGUCCACUGGGACAUCGGACCCGAAAGCUAUCAGAAAGGAGCCUGACUCCCCUGAGGCCGCCCUGCUGGGGGGACGCCAAAGCUUGUCGCCUGAAGAGACCACGAGCGGGCACUCUGGCUGAUGGUCGUAUCUGGAGUCACCCCAGCCCAGUGCCCAGAGAGUGUGUGGACAGGCCUCUGCCCCCACCUGUGAGUCUCCCAGCCCAGACCCAACGUCGUGGAGCAGAGGCCCAUGGGGUCAAAUUCCAGGCGGUCAUUGGACUGGGAAACCGGGAGUUCGACUGCUCGCAUGAGGUUCGCUGACCACCAGGGCGCGGCGCGGAACAUGACGGGCAUCGGGGACGUGCGGCUCUCUCGCUGUCUACCGAGGGGCGGGGUGACUGGGGCGGAGGGGCGGAGGUGCGGUGAGAAGGCGGGGUGUCCGCUGAGCUCCCUCUCACUCCUCCCUGCUACCCUCCCCCGGAACGCCAGGGCUCGUGCUGGGGAAGCCCCCGCACUCAGGUGCGGCCCAGCUCACCCACGGGGCCUCUUCCAGGUGAGCCGGCCGCAGCUGCCGGGACCACAGGGCUGGUCGGGCUCCCCGUGGGGAGAGAGCGUGCUGCCCACCCAGCUUCUGUGUGGCACCGCUGGGUGGCCCAGAGCCCGCCGCUGUGCCCCGGCCCGCCGCAUCUGGCCACGCUCACCGCAUCUCCAUGUGGGGACUCGGGCACUGUAAU